rnacentral:rRNA from 1 species
UAGGGAAUCUUCCACAAUGGACGCAAGUCUGAUGGAGCAACGCCGCGUGAGUGAAGAAGGUUUUCGGACCGUAAAGCUCUGUUGUUGGUGAAGAAGGAUAGAGGUAGUAACUGGCCUUUAUUUGACGGUAAUCAACCAGAAAGUCACGGCUAACUACGUGCCAGCAGCCGCGGUAAUACGUAGGUGGCAAGCGUUGUCCGGAUUUAUUGGGCGUAAAGCGAGCGCAGGCGGAAGAAUAAGUCUGAUGUGAAAGCCCUCGGCUUAACCGAGGAAUUGCAUCGGAAACUGUUUUC